rnacentral:lncRNA from 1 species
GUCUUCCCCGGGAGCCCACAGGGGUCUGAGGUUGAUCCCGGAGGCGCGAGGAGUCGGUACGGGUCACGGUUGUCCCGGCCCCUGAGGCGCAGGGUAGGAGUGGGGUCCCAUAGAUGUCAGACUCGGUCUGCAAGUAUCGUCGGCCUUCAUUUGUAGGUGAACAAGCCGAGAUUCUUGUGGCGUGAUAGGACUUGUGGUCGCCACGAAGGGGCCAGCUCCAUCGGGAAUCUGUAAUCGCCCAGCAGUUUCCCCGCCCCGCGCAUGUGAAAUAUGUAGCCCUCCGUAUUCAUUCUAGAAACUUCUGGGAACCCAGCGCCUUGGGGAGAUAGAACCGAGCCAGAUGUUCCCCCGCUGCGAGGAACUCAGAACCUGCAUAAAUAGAGAAGGUGGCAGGCAUAUAGUAGGGAGACCAGUAAUUCCAUUGAGCGCUGAUUUUGGGCCAGGCACGAUACAAGCAUUAUCUCUGCAAAACAUCUUAUUCAUUCGUUCAGCAAACGUUUCUUGAACUCUCAGAAGGAUGAAGGAAGUUUACCCAGCUAGUAAGUGGAAGAACUGGUAUUGGAACCCGAUCUGUCUGACUGCAGAGUUCCACAAUCUUGCUGCCAAGUUAUGUGGGGAUAACAAUGACUAUUUUAUGUCAUCUAUUCAUUCUUCCAGCCUAUCAGCCUCCUGUGUCUUAAGCAGAGUGGAGACGGGGGUGGAUCCAGGCGCACCAGUAAGUUGUACUGGAGUUAAGCAGUAAGCUUUCUGGGCAGAGGAAAGUGCGGGCGUAAAGGUCCAAGGCUUGAAAAGGCGCAGCAGCACCUUUUUCUCUUUGGGGAAAGAAGCGGUGGCUGCGGGGAAUAAACCAACUCUGUAGAGGGGCGGGGCCGUGGGAAAGCGGUGGAACGGGGCAGGAAGGCUGGGCGUCAUUUGGGAGGCAAGGAACUUUUCUGUAAGGCAUAGCGCCCUUUCUGCACGGGACCUGUCCAGGUUCCACGCCACAGGCUUCUGCAGUUCCUGCAAACUGUUCCCAUCCCGCCCCGCGUUGCACGUCGGGAUUUGGAGUUCGCGAUGCUGAGAGCUGUUUCCACGUGGCGAUUCCGACUUGACCCGUCGUGCUCCGGCGCCCGCCUAGGGGGACCGAGGAGUUUGUCAUUUCUUGCCUCGUUAGGGUGCGGAACGAAAACCAUUUGAUUUAUCCUAGAAAAGGAAAGGCUGAAGCCAACUAAGUAAAAGUUUUCCAUUAAAUGAAUGCACGUUGUAGAAAAGGAAUGUUCAACUGCCCUACAAAUCCAGAGGUAGAAAUGGGGGAGGGGAGAAGGAAUUAAAUAGGACACACACACACACACACAAACACACACACACACACACUCUUGGGGGGGUGUUUGGGUAUGGAAAGUAGGUCCGAUUGCAGAAUUUAUUUUAAAUGAUUCCCGCAACCUUGGGAAGUUGGGAAGUGGUGAAUCCGCUGCCGAAAGGCAUUUGUGCUUAUGGUAAAUCCAGGUCUUAAAAUUCUGUAGACUGGUAGCUAUAUGGAUAUGAUUUUAAUAGACGAGUUUCAGGAAGACUCUCUCAAACUGUUUUUUGUUGUUGUUGUUUAAAAACUUACUUGAAAUAUAUUGGAAACCACAUAUACAUAAUCUCUCACACACACUACAUAAAGAAGUAAAAAUUCCUUUCCCUACUUCUUUCAUCCUAUCCAAUUUGUAGAGUCAUAACCAUUCUUAAUAAUUUGAUGGGUAUUCAUUUCUUCCCUAAAUUUAUAUGUCUAGAACUAGAGCUAGAGUGUAUGCCUACAUACACACACACACACACCCAUACAUAUAUAUUCAAACAUAAUAUAUGUAUAUCCACAUGUAUUCAAACACAGAAUUAUGUUUAGAUAAUUAUGGUUAUAUGCUGGUAUGCCAGAGCCAGACUGCCUGGCUUCGGUUCCAGGCCCUAGUUGGAUAGCUUUGGGCUACUCAGCCUCUUUAUGCCUGGACUUCUUCAUCUUUGAAAUGGGAUAAUAAUAAUACUUAUCCCAUAAAGUUAUUGUGAGAAUUAAAUGAAAUAAUAUAUGAAAAGCCCUUAGAACAGGCAUUGACACAUUGUGAAGGUAAUGUAUUAGCUAUUUUGAUGAUUAUGCAUUUUGUCUGCAACUUGAUUUUUAUUUAACAUAUGUGGGAAAGUAGACAAACAUAGCCAUUUUCAAUGAUUCCAUAAUAUUCCAUAGCACGAGUAUACCAUUGUUUAUCGAACCAUUUCUCUCUUGAGAAACAUUGCAGAUUUUUUUUGCAGUUUCUACGAUUACAAAUAAUGCUGCAAUAAACAUCUUUCUACAUAUAGUCUUUAUAAAUUUGCGUUUAUUUCUUAGAAUUUAUUAUUGAAUUAGAGUAACUGGUUCAAAUUGGAUGCAAUUCCCAUGGCAGAAGGUACAUUGUUGAACUCACUGGCAAGCCUGAUGAGGCACUGGUGGAAUUCAUGGAGAUACUGCUUAAUUGCUCUCCCUGGACAAUGUGUCAUUUUGCACUUACACCAGCAAUGUAUGAGAGCGCCUGUUUCCCCAUAGCCUCACCAACAGAGUAUUUUGUCAAUAGUUUGGAGUUUCUGCCAAUCUGUAAAGGAAAAUAAGUGUAGUUUUAAUUUGCAUUUCUCUAUUUCAGUGAGGUUGAACAUUUUUUCAUAUAUUUGGUCAACUGCCAGUUCUGGUUCUUUUUCUUUUUUUUUUUCUUUUUGAGACAGAGUCUCACUCUGUCUCCCAGGCUGGAGUGUAGUGGCACGAUCUUGGCUCACUGCAACCUCUGCCUCCGAGGUUCAAGUGAUUUUCCUACCUAGGCCCCCCUGAAUAGCUGGGAUUACAGGCUCACACCACUACACCUGGCUGAUUUUUGUAUUUUUAAUAAAGGUGGGGUUUUGCCAUAUUGGCCAGGCUGGUCUCAAACUCCUGACUUCAGGUGAUCCACCUGCCUUGGCCUCUCAAAGUGCUGGGAUUACAGGUGUGAGCCACCGCACCCAGCCUCUUUUUCUUUUCUUUUCUUUCUUUCUUUUUGUUUAGAAACAGGGUUGUGCUCUGUUGCCCAGGCUGGAGUACAGUAGCACAAUCAUAGCUCACUGCAGCCUCAAACUCUUGGGCUCAAGCAGUCCUUCCUCAGCCUCCAGAGUAGCUGGGACAACAGGCACCUGCCACCACACCUAAGUUUUGUAGUUUUUGUAGAAAUGGGGUCUUUCUGUGUUGCUCAGGCUAGUUCUGGUUCUUUCUCUGAAUUUAGAUUUCAAAAUGAGUCUUGAAUAUGAAAUCAGUUUAGAAUAUAAUCUCUGUGGGCCUUCUGUUUAUUUUAUUCACUACUAUACCCCAGGUACCUAGAAGAGUAACUGGCACAUGGCAGAUGCUCACUAAAUAUUUGUUGAACGAAUGACUGGUUGUUGCUAGUCAGUAACUGAGUAUGUGAUCAACUGUAGACAAACAAAAGUAAUUCCUGACUCUCCCAAGGCUGAGGCUGUUUUUAAAAGAUUAUGGUAAAAAUACAACAAAACAUAAAAGUUAUCAUCUUAACAAUUUUUUAACCUUGGCAUGGAAAAUUGAUCGAAGUUGGCCAUUUUUAAGUAUACAACUCUGUAGUGUUACUUAUGUUCACGUUGUUGUGCUACCAUCACCAACAUCCACCCACAGAACUCUUCAUUUUGUAAAACUGAUACUCUGUACCCAUUAAACACAAUCCUCAUUUCCCACUCAGUCCAGCUCCUGGCAACUACCAUGCCACUUUCUGUCUCUGUGAAUUUGACUGCCCUAGGUCCCUCAUAUAAGAGGAAUCACAUAGUAUUUUUUUUGUAUCUGCCUUAUUUCACUUAGCAUAAUGUCCUCAAGGUUCAUCCAUAUUGUUGCAUGUUUCAGAAUUUCCUUCCGUUUAAAGGCUGAAUGAUAAUCCAUUGGCUGUAGAUACCACAUUUUAUUUAUCCAUUUAUCUGUCAAUGGACACUUCUUCGGUUGUUUCCCCCUUUUGCUAUUGUGGAUAAUGCCACUACGAACGUGAUCGUACAAAUAUCUGUUCCAGUCCCUGUUUUCACUGAAAUAAAUGGAACUACUGUAUCAUAUGGUAACUCUACAUUUAAUUUUUUGAGAAAUUGCCAUACUUUUUUUCAUUUUUCUUUUCUUUUCUUUUUUUUUUUUUUUUUUUGGUUUUGAGAUGGAGUCUUACUCUGUCACCCAGGCUGGAGUGCAGUGACACGAUCUCGGCUCACUACAACCUCUGCCUCCCGGGUUCAAGCAAUUCUCCUGCCUCAGCUUCCCUAGAAGCUAGGAUUACAGGUGCACACCACUGCGCCUGGCUAAUUUUUGUAUUGUUAGUAGAGACGGGGGUUUCACUGUUUUGGCCACAGUGGUCUCAAACUCCUGACCUCCGGUGAUCCACCUGCCUUGGCUUCCCAAAGUGCUGGGAUUACAGGCGUGAGCCACCGUGCCUGGCCCCCAUUUUUUGAGACAGGGUCUUGCUCUGUCACCUAGGCUGGAGUGCAGUGGCGCAAUCAUGGCUCGCUGUAGCCUCAAACUCGUGGGCUCAAGCAAUCCUCCUGCCUCAGCCUCCCAUAGUGCUGGGAUUAUAGGCAUGAGUCACCACACUCAGCUGCCAUAUAUAUAAUUUUUACAGCAGAUGCCCCAUUUUACAUUCCCACCUGCAGUGAACAAGGGUUUCAAUUUCUUCACAUCCUUAGUAACACUUCUAUUUUUUUUUCUUUUUUUUUUUUUUGAGAUAGAGUCUUGUUCUGUUGCCCAGGCUGGAGUGCAGUGGUGUGAUCUUGGCUCACUGCAACCUCCACCUCCCAGGUUCAAGCAAUACUCCUGCCUCAGCCUCCUGAGUAGCUGAGAUUACAGGCAUGUGCCACCAUACCCAGCCAAUUUUUCUAUUUUUAGUAGAGGCAGGGUUUCACCGUGUUGGCCAGGCUGGUCUCAAACUCCUAACCUCAAGUGAUCCGCCCGCCUCGGCCCCCCAAAGUGCUGAGAUUACAGGCAUUAGCCACUGCACCUGGCCUGUUUUCUUCUAACUUUAAGUGGCACUUUUCCCAUUCCAAAAUUCUACUUAUAAAUAUAUUAAAAUAAUGGUAGGAUAUGUCCCCUUCAGGGCACCCUUGAUGCGUAUACAAGAGCUGGCUUUUUCUAGGCACUGCUAAAGAGCCAGGGCUCUGGUGACAGGAAGCAUUAAACUGGUGGAGCACCUUGAGGGUAAGUCUUGGGGCCUUUUGUGCUUCUCAGCUGGGCUCACUUGUUGCUUAGUGGACCAAGCUUGUUCACUGCUGUGAGUAUCAUUUAUUUUUCUAGUUACUUUGGGUCUGCAGUAGUAGUUGAGUUCUAAAUAUACUAUGGGAUAGCUGAGGUCCGUGUCCUAGGUUGCUAGAAAAUGACAGAAGAAAUACAGUUCUGGACUGGAUAUGUGGCUCACACCUGUAAUCCCAGUACUUUGGGAGGCCGAGGUGGGUGGAUUACCUGAGGUCAGGAGUUCGAGACCAGCCUGGCCAACAUGGCAAAACCCCAUCUCUGCUAAAAAACAAAACAAAACAAAACAAAACAAAAAUUAGCCGGGCAUGGUGGUGUGCACCUGUAAUUCCAGCUACUUGGAAGGCUGAGGCAGGAGAAUCACUUGAACCUGGGAGGCGGAGGUUGCAGUGAGCUGAUAUCACCCACUGUGCCUGGGUGACAGAGCGAGACUCUGUCUCAAACAAAAACAAAAACAAAAUCAAAAACAACAACAACAAAAAACAACUGAGUUCUUCCCUGUUUUUCUUAGCAUGUCCAGAGAUAUACCUAGUCUCCAGGGUAUAACAAUUCUUUUUGUCUUCUAGGCUGAGGUUUGAGGGAAAAAAUGUCCUUUAAGUUUUAUCCAUAGUAGAGUUGAAACAGGUUGGGAUUUUUCAGAAGAGACUUUACUCAAAAUCCUAAGGGAAGAGAAGGGAGAAAAAAUGAAAAUAAAGUCAUUAACAAUAAAUACACUACUUUGGCUGGGCCCUGCCUCAUGAGAGGCCAGAGUGGCUUGUGGAGUUUGGCAACACCGCCCCCCCUAGAGGUAAUUGCUGUGCUGCGCUCCAACCUCUCCAACAAUUGUUAGACUCUUCAGAUCCCUGUUGAUACAGAGCAUUCCAGGAUUGUGAAGUGGGAGCCAGCCACAUCCAUGAUGUUCAUGGAGCCUAGAAGAGCCCUGUGGAAACAAAUUUUACCUGGUUACACUGAGAUCCAGACAUGCACAGACCAGCCCUCUUGAAGAGAGCUUGAGCUUCCUGACUGGGGCUGGAAUGGAGAGAGACAAUGAAGUUCCUGAGAGUAUUGCCAGGAGAAAAAGGUGUGGCUGAAUGGAUCAGCCGAAACAUCAGGGGCUUGAAUCCAGAGGGAGGAUGGGGUCUCGCUAUGUUGCUCAGGCUGGUCUCAAACUCCUGGCCUUAAGCAGUCCUCCUGCCUCAGCUUCCAAAAGUGCUGGGAUUGCAGGUGUGAGCAUCUGCACCUAGCCAACAAUCAUUUAUUGUAUAUUUCACAGUAGCUAGAAGAGAAGGGUUGUAAUGUUCCCAACACAAAGAAAGAUAGGGCUGGCCACAGUGG